GACGAACGCUGGCGGCGUGCCUAAUACAUGCAAGUCGAGCGGACAGAUGGGAGCUUGCUCCCUGAUGUUAGCGGCGGACGGGUGAGUAACACGUGGGUAACCUGCCUGUAAGACUGGGAUAACUCCGGGAAACCGGGGCUAAUACCGGAUGGUUGUUUGAACCGCAUGGUUCAGACAUAAAAGGUGGCUUCGGCUACCACUUACAGAUGGACCCGCGGCGCAUUAGCUAGUUGGUGAGGUAACGGCUCACCAAGGCAACGAUGCGUAGCCGACCUGAGAGGGUGAUCGGCCACACUGGGACUGAGACACGGCCCAGACUCCUACGGGAGGCAGCAGUAGGGAAUCUUCCGCAAUGGACGAAAGUCUGACGGAGCAACGCCGCGUGAGUGAUGAAGGUUUUCGGAUCGUAAAGCUCUGUUGUUAGGGAAGAACAAGUGCCGUUCAAAUAGGGCGGCACCUUGACGGUACCUAACCAGAAAGCCACGGCUAACUACGUGCCAGCAGCCGCGGUAAUACGUAGGUGGCAAGCGUUGUCCGGAAUUAUUGGGCGUAAAGGGCUCGCAGGCGGUUUCUUAAGUCUGAUGUGAAAGCCCCCGGCUCAACCGGGGAGGGUCAUUGGAAACUGGGGAACUUGAGUGCAGAAGAGGAGAGUGGAAUUCCACGUGUAGCGGUGAAAUGCGUAGAGAUGUGGAGGAACACCAGUGGCGAAGGCGACUCUCUGGUCUGUAACUGACGCUGAGGAGCGAAAGCGUGGGGAGCGAACAGGAUUAGAUACCCUGGUAGUCCACGCCGUAAACGAUGAGUGCUAAGUGUUAGGGGGUUUCCGCCCCUUAGUGCUGCAGCUAACGCAUUAAGCACUCCGCCUGGGGAGUACGGUCGCAAGACUGAAACUCAAAGGAAUUGACGGGGGCCCGCACAAGCGGUGGAGCAUGUGGUUUAAUUCGAAGCAACGCGAAGAACCUUACCAGGUCUUGACAUCCUCUGACAAUCCUAGAGAUAGGACGUCCCCUUCGGGGGCAGAGUGACAGGUGGUGCAUGGUUGUCGUCAGCUCGUGUCGUGAGAUGUUGGGUUAAGUCCCGCAACGAGCGCAACCCUUGAUCUUAGUUGCCAGCAUUCAGUUGGGCACUCUAAGGUGACUGCCGGUGACAAACCGGAGGAAGGUGGGGAUGACGUCAAAUCAUCAUGCCCCUUAUGACCUGGGCU
rnacentral:rRNA from 1 species